UCCUAAACCUUCUGUACCGAUCUGGAUUUCUUUCUUAGCGAUCUAGCCAAAAUCAAUACUUAUUAACCAGAUCUUCUACCAGUGUAAUGGGUCUGUUUCUUACUGUUCUCUACUGGAGAGCUCUUCUAUCUACUAAAACGAAAACAGCCAGAGCGAUAGAGGGGGGAGCGAGAAGGGCAGCUUUUGAAGAAGUUGCCUACUGUGGUUGAAUUGUUGGGCAGAGUUAUCUGCGUUUGGUUUGGAUUCGAUUUGGAUAAUGCACUGUUUGUUCCUUUUGGUAAAUUAAAAUCAGCAGACCUGGAUUAGAUUAUGUGUGUGUACAUAUAUAAUGAGGAGAGGAAGUGUCUGUGGAAUAGAUCAUUUUAUAUGGUUGAAGAUUUUAUCCAUAGAUCCUUGCACUGAAAGCAUCACUAUCAUAACCACAGUUCACAUUAGCUGUUACUGAAGCCUGGAGAUCUCUUCUACAUGGCUUUUGUUCAGUUCAUCUACACACUGGAAUACCAGAAUAUUUGAAAAAAGAGGCAGAGAGGGAGAUAAAGAAGUUGCAACAUGCAUGUAGGUGCAAGUCUGAUACUAUAUUAGCUAUUAGUAUAUGUGAAAUCAUUUGAAGCAAAGUGGACAAAGCAACUUUUUGGGCAGACUCUAGAAGAAAUUGGAGCAGCUAACUCAUGUAACAAGAUAACGCCUUUGUGUUUAUAUAGAGGCAAUUCCAGGGCUGUAAAGACACUGAAGCCAUAUCAGACUAGCUACCUUCGGAAUUACAUAAUUAAGAUCACCUACUUUUAUUUUUGUGCAUAUAUAUCUGAGCAUUACUGACUGUAUGCCCUCUUUUUUGUUAGGACUUUCCCUCUCUUUCUAAUGUUUUAGCUAACAUAUUGUAUUGUGACAUAAUAAUACCACCUAAAAAUUUAUUGAAACCACAGCAAAGCGCGGACAACUCUCUAGUAAUAUUGAUGUUAGGAUUAUAUUACCUUGGGUUUUCAAAAUAAGGGGGGUGUAUUCAACUAGGAUUCUAUAUGAUUUUCUUGUAUUUUAAGAAUCUUUUGAAAUCUUUUGGUAUUCAAUUAAGAUUUUAAACAAUCCAUUGAAAUCUCAAGGUAUUCAAUUAAGAUUUCAAAAACUUCUAUAAAUUCUAGUGGUAUUCAAAAAUAGAUUGAUUUUGAAUGAUUUCAUUUAUUAGUUGAUUUUGUUGGAUUUUGAAGUAUUUUUACACUAUAUCAUGCUUGUUAGAAAUCAAGCAUUUAGACAUGAGAAUUUGAUAUGUUCUCUCUCUCUCUCUCUCUCUCUCUCUCUCUCUCUCUCAAUAAGAUCGAAAGUUUGUAUGUUCUUAAUCAUGUGUUUUAUUUUAAUUGCUCAAAUUAAUUUUCUGGGUUUUUCUUAUGAUUUGGUAUAAUUGUUGUAAGCAAAAAAGAAAUGAUGGUUGUUUUUAUAAUUGUACUAAUAGUUGUUUUGCUAAAAAAAUUAAUUGUAUAACAAUCAAAUUUCAGAUUUUAGAAUACUAUUGAAUGUUAAUUGGGUGAAAGUUUAUAAAAUUGUUAUCAUAUCUUUGAUCCUCAUUCAAGAUAGUUGUACCUUUGUGAUAUUGAUCUUGUACUUUAGUUUUAUCGAUGUUUAUGGAAGUUUAUAGAAUUGAAUCAAACUCAUGUGAUUUUAGGAUUAUGUAAAAAUGAGAUAUUAAUCCCUAAUAAUACAUAGGGAUGUUUAUUAUUGCUUAACAUGUAUGUAUAAAAUUAAUAAGGAUGUAAGUAACUAGUAAAUCUUGUCAACAUACCAUCGUAAAAUCUAUUAAAAUCUUCCAAAUACAAUACAAUAGAAUCUUCUUAAAUCCAUAUAGAGUUUAAAUAAUUCAUGGAUUCUGCAUUCAGUAAAACUCCAAAGAUUAUAAGAAUUCAAACAAUCAUUUGAAAUUGAACACACUCCCUUAAAGCUACUUACUUUAUCAGUUAUCUGGGCCACUGGACUUGGCAUAUGAUGGGUUUCAAUAACUCUUAAGUGAUUUCCGUCGGCCCUUCACAACUAAUGACCUGUGAAACUUACGCAUCAUAGUUAAUAUUUGUUGUCUUAUUUAAUCCCUUAACUAUUUUUUUUGUAACCUAAAUGCUGGUAGCUGUUGUUUCUUCCCUUUGAGGUACUUUUGAUGAAGAAUAUAAGCAGAAGACCUCUAGGAGUCUGUAGAUGGUGAUGGACAUGGGGUUCUGGUUCUAGCUUGGUUUGGGAAGCUUAGUAAUGCUGAAAAAUGAGAAUAGUGGGCCUGACGGGUGUGAUUUCUUCCGGGAAGAGUACUGUCUCAAAUCUUUUCUAGGCCCAUGACAUUCCUGUUGUUGACGCCGACCUUGUUGCUCGUGAGCUCUUGAAGAAGGGAACUGGUGCAUGGAAAAAAGUUGUUUCUGCAUUUGGCGACCUGACAGAGAAGUUGAUAGGCCUAAACUAGGGAAAAUUGUAUUCUCUUAUCCUGAAAAACGUAAACUUUUGAACCAAUAUGUACUUUCUUGUGGACCAAUUAAUUUUAUUUUAUGAUCUCACUUGAGAGUUUCUUUGUAAAAGUUGUAAACAAGGGCAUUGUCUGUAAACUACUUUUAAUUUAAUCUGGUGAUGCAUGGUCAACAUGUGAUCAUUGAUUGCCAAAUAUUGGCGGUUUUAAGUUCGGUUAAUAAUAAUAAGAGGAUCUUGUUAUGUUGAA